rnacentral:rRNA from 1 species
UCUUUAUUUUGAAGUUUUUAUUUAAUUUUAGUGUAAUAAUUUAGAUAAUUAUAAAAAAAUUUUAUUGGGGUGAUAGUGAAAUUUAAUAAACUUUUAUUUUUAGUUUAUAAUAAUAUUUAUUUUAAUGAUCCAUAUAAAUGAUUAAAAAAUUAAGU